AGAGUUUGAUCAUGGCUCAGGAUGAACGCUGGCGGCGUGCCUAAUACAUGCAAGUCGAACGCGAGCACUUGUGCUCGAGUGGCGAACGGGUGAGUAAUACAUAAGUAACCUGCCCUAGACAGGGGGAUAACUAUUGGAAACGAUAGCUAAGACCGCAUAGGUACGGACACUGCAUGGUGACCGUAUUAAAAGUGCCUCAAAGCACUGGUAGAGGAUGGACUUAUGGCGCAUUAGCUGGUUGGCGGGGUAACGGCCCACCAAGGCGACGAUGCGUAGCCGACCUGAGAGGGUGACCGGCCACACUGGGACUGAGACACGGCCCAGACUCCUACGGGAGGCAGCAGUAGGGAAUUUUCGGCAAUGGGGGAAACCCUGACCGAGCAACGCCGCGUGAAGGAAGAAGGUUUUCGGAUUGUAAACUUCUGUUAUAAAGGAAGAACGGCGGCUACAGGAAAUGGUAGCCGAGUGACGGNA
rnacentral:rRNA from 1 species